UAAAUAUCUAUGAGACUUGCAUUUUAGGAUAGCCAAAUCUUUGUCAAAAGUCUUCGUCUAGUAUUCAAUGCUUUCAAGUCAUAACAAUCUGCAGAAUCCUAAGUUUAAUUUAGAGUACCAUUUUCAGCAUUGACAGAAAUGACAAAAUGAUAUGAAAUCAAGCAUGAAUUCACAUACACAAUCGAUUUGACCCUCAGUUAUUUUCAGUAAAAAUUCCAAAACUGGCUUCAUUUUGGAUUGAUUUUGGUCAAGACUGAAAUCUCAGUUUUGGUUUUAGAGUUACAGGUGAAAAUUUUAACCAUGCUCUUCAAAGUAAAUUAGAAGAUUACUUGUCGCUUAUGUGAUAAAUUACCACAAAAUCUAGUCACAUACAUAAAUUAUCCAUUAUUAUGGUAAUCAAUUGAUGUAGUGAGUAUUAAAUCCUAGAAGGGGUUGGUAAUGGGCCUUGGAUAGAAAACCAUCAAGCUGGGCCAUGUUCAUACCAGGCUUUGAGCUGGCAGAAGCUUAGAAUAUAAAAAUGUGGCAUAAAUAUACAAGAAAGCCUUUUGGCAUAAAAAUGUGGAGCUAAAGCCAGCUUAUAGGUAAUUAAACAAUAGAAUCAUUAAAGGUUUUCCAAACAUGAAAAUUUAGUCCUUUGCAAACAAUAGCUAAUAAUCUGCUAAACAGCUUCAAGUUCAUACUAACCAAGGAGCACUAAGAAUGAAACAUAACAUUCAAACGGCACCAUGAAUGUUCGAUCCACAGCAAACCAGAUACAGCAUGUGUAUUCACCAAAUAACUCUACUUACUAUGCCCCAUCAUUCUCCUAAAAAUCGAAGCCUUUCGUCCCACCCAUCAUUUAGUUGAAACAGUAAUACUAUUUAUUUAAGCUUUAACUAUUCAAUUUCCUCAUACACGUAUGGUUCCGAUA
rnacentral:lncRNA from 1 species